AGGGGCAGACGAUGUAGAUAAUCUUAUCCUACACACUGAAAUACCAUGUGUGGACUUUAAACUCCGCUUAUUAUCUGAUGCCAUU